ACCGGUUAACGGGGAGGAUGGCACACGGACUAUCAAUGAAGAAAUAAACUCCUCGGGAACUGAAAGCCUCAAAGUUCACAGAUAUCAACUGACAAAGGAAUAAUUGAUCUUGGCUCUGCUGCGGCUCCGUGUUGGGAUCCCACUCCUGCCGAGGAAGAGACAUGUCUUCUGAGACUUCAGAUGCAUCUGUUAAACAUGAAAGAACAUUUCUGACUCAGAUUUUGGGAUUUACUCUGGAAUAGAAAUGUGCUGUUUUUCAUUCCUGUCAGACAUUCUUCGUUUUCUAAUGUGUUCUUCUUUUGUCUUAAAACAUGGUUUGAAUGAAUGAAUUUAAGGUUAUAAAGGUAUUUAUUUUAUAAAGGAUAUGAGGCUGCUGCCUCUAUGCCACGUUUUAACCUCUUGUUGAUAUUUUUAUAUGUUUAUUGACAUAGUGUGGGUUUCAUUUUAAGGAUGGUCUUUAUCCUUGGAUAAUAACUUUCUUCUUUUUUUACAGAGAGAACUUAAAUAAAUAAUUAAAUAAAUAUAGUGGUAUAGCAGAAUAUAUAGCCUGAAAUAUACCUGAUUGCAUUACUCAUUAUAAUUAGAGUUAGGAACAAAAUGCUUAAAUACAGACCCAAACACAAUACAGGCUAUGGACAAAACUGUGUGAAACUGCCCUGAAGAUUUAAGAUUUCAUAGUGUAAGAAUGAAAAAAUAAAAUAUGUGCUUUUUCUUAGCCAACCCUCAGAGGGAUUUUCUGUCACUAGUGAUGGAUUAAAUUCCCUCAAUAAAAACGUACACACUGUA